UUGGUGGUGAAGAGGCUGCUGUUGGUGGGGAAGAUUUUUCUGGUAAUGUAGAAGAGGAAGUUGCUAGUGUAGAGAAUCUGAAUGGUGGAGAAGGGGUUGAUGAAGAAGAGGUUGCUUCAGAGGUAGCUAGUAGUGAGUCAGAUCUUGAUGAACUUCCUUAUGAGGAUGAUAGUGAAGUUGAUGAAGAGGCUAGGACCUUCAGAAAUGAGAGGAGAACUAAAAAGAAUGCUACCAAAAAGAAGAAACAACCUGAAACUACUAGUGUGCAUGUAUGAGAAGCUGGAAUUGAUAGGGAUUUUGAAGAUAUAUGAUUUAACAUAAAAAGAAAAUAUGUUGGUAGAUUAGGAGGUGAUGAGGAGUUCAUUGACAGUUCUGAUACUAGAACUGAUGAUACUGAUGAAGAGGUAGAGGUGGAUUUUCGGUCUGGUGUUGACCUUCCAAGUAGAAGAAAGAGCACAAAGGUUAGAUAUGACACUGACUGUGAAAUGGUAAUUUUUGAGUUGGGCAUGAUAUUUAAGAAUGUAGGAGAAUUUAGAAAGGUAGUGACUGAUUAUGCAAUAGAGUAUAAAGUUCAGUUAAAGCUUAAACCGAAUGAGAAGGGUAGGGUAAGGGUGUAGUGUAAAUCAAAAAAAUGCAAAUGGGAGUUGUAUACUUUAGUUGAUAGAGAUUCUGGUGACUUUAUGAUCAAAUAGUACCAUCCUGUUCAUAAAUAUCAACCAAUGAACACCAACAAGAUGUGUAAUUCAAAAUACAUUGCCAACAAAUUCAAUAAAGAACUUACUGUUGCUCGCUAUAUGAGAAUCUAGGAAAUUCAAGAACUAGUUAGAGAGAGGUUAGGAUUGUAUAUUGGCAGAACAGUAGCUUAUAGAGCCAAACAGAUUGUUCUAAGAAAGUUUAUAGGGGAUUGAAAGCUGGAGUUUGCCAGAUUGUGUGAAUAUGCUGAUAGUAUUAAGGAAACUAAUCCCGGCAGCUCCUAUUUUGUGAAAAUUGACAUAGAAUCUGAGCCUGAUAAGAAAUUAUUUCAGAACUUCUAUGUCUGUUUUUAUGCACUCAAGAAAGGUUGGUUAGAAUGAUGUAGGAACAUAAUUAGUUUAGAUGGUUGUUCCUAAAGGGAAGUUGUAAGGGUGAAUUACUAGUGGUUGUGGAAAGAAAUGAGAACCAACAGAUGUUUCCUAUUACUUGGGCUGUUGUACACCAUGAAACUAAACAUUCAUAGAGUUUGUUUCUUAGUCACUUGAUAGAAGAUUUGCAACUAGGUGAAGGUCAUGGCUUAACAGUAAUGUCAGAUAUGCAAAAGGCAAACAAUUUAUUUAUGUUUAUUAGUUGUUGGUAUUCUAUCUUCUAUUUUAAUUUCUAAUGUUGUAUAUAUUAUUUUGCACGGGCUUUUGGUAUCAGUUAAAGAGUUAUUACCUAUGACAGAAUAAAAAAAAUGUGUUCAAGGCACAUAUGGUCUAACUGGUCUAAGAAAUGGAAGGGAGAAGAAAGGAGGAAAUAAUUCUGGAGGGUUGCAAAGGCCAACUAUCUGUUUAAGUACAACAAUGAAGUUGCAAACAUGAGAAAACUUGGCUCUGCUAUAUGUGAAGAUAUGAUGAAGCAUCCAAGAGAGUCAAGGUGCAAGGCAUUCUUUCAAGAACAUUCCAGAGUACAUUUAGAGGGUCAUCAAGUAGACAAGAAGCACAAGAAAGUCAAUCAAGUCAACCAACUCAAAGGUGUUCAAUGUGUGAUAAAACAACAACAACUGUUAAUAGAAGAAGGGACAGGGGAAGAGGAAAGGCACCUAGUACAACUAUUAGACCUACAAAAUGUGCAUUUCCAAAUGCACUUCCUCAGACUGCUCCUAGGGAACAGCCCCAAAACUAAAGGUAGCAAGAAGAUCUUCAUAUGCUGGAAAAGGAAAGGGAAAUGGACCUGCAACUGCAGAAUCAUCUACUGCUUCUAGGAAAAAAUGACUAAGAACUGUUGGCUUUGGAUGCUACACUAACACUGGAAGGACAAUACUUAAUCCUGAUUUGUCAAGUAAAAGGGUUGUCAACCAUGAGACUAGAGUAAGGACCACCACUGAUGUGAAUCUGGAUGAUAGAAUUAGGCUUGCAGGACUUAGAGAGAAUGGGAGAGAUGCAAUUAUUACUUCGUAACUGCAGCAAAUAAGUGCAAGUAGAAGAAACAAAGUUGGAACACAAGCACCAUCUCAGUUUUCAACUCAAGUGAUCAUGGAUAAACUAGCCAAAAAAAUUAGUGACCAACCAAGAUUAUGUAAUAUGCAUCACUUGUUUUUUGUUAAAACUUGCUUUUUUUGUUGAAUGUAGUUUGUUGGACUUACUGGUAUCUUUUGGAACUGGAUUAUGUAAUA